AAAGCAGGUUGCAAGUAUAGCUCUUCAUUUUGUGGAAUUAUUGCUACUUACUACCCUGCUAAAGAGCAGCCAUGUUGAUGCCUCUGAUUUUACCUUUAUGAAAGUAAAAGUAACAGCCUGACAAAGACAGUC
ensembl:snoRNA Gm22784 small nucleolar RNA SNORA69